GUUUCUUUCUUACCUUUUAGACUUAUAGACUUAGACUUAUACAUAUGUCCUGUCCUCUCCACUGAGCUGUACGUCACAUUCAGGAAACAAUUUACACAAUCAUCCAUCCAUAUCAAGAAGGUGAAACAUCCUAAACUGUGACCAGGCUUAACAUAAAGAGCUACACCGGUAAAUUAGUAAGGUUCAGCUGAACUGUCAACAUUCUUCAACUAAAUAAUGUGACCAGUUAAAAAGCCCAGCCGACAUAAACAAGCGGGCCGCAUGAAUGUGUGUCAGCCCAGGCACUUAUAUGAACUCUACUCACAGGCAAAAAGCAGAGCAAAAGCAUGGAAAUUCCUCUAA